ACGGAGCUAACCAAGGUCUAUGAAUAGGUGAGGACACCCUGUUAAUUCUCACGUGACACAACCCCUGUCUAUUUUUCCCACCGUGUCACACACAGGAAAGUUUAGUCUUAGAAGCAUCACGUUGUGUUCCUGACUAAAUUGUCCGUCUUAGACUUGUCCUCUGACGAAAACUAUGUCACUGAUUCGUGUGAGGUUCUUAGCCGUGUUAUUGAAUUGAGUUUUCCAGUUUGGAAACCUCCUUUUCCGUUGGCUUCGUCGACGUCUUCAGGACAAAAGACUGCCUACUUCUUCGAUCGUGUGUUCUGUCUUCGAGAUAUU
rnacentral:rRNA from 1 species